rnacentral:rRNA from 1 species
GACGAACGCUGGCGGCGUGCUUAACACAUGCAAGUCGAACGGAAAGGCCCUGCUUUUGUGGGGUGCUCGAGUGGCGAACGGGUGAGUAACACGUGAGUAACCUGCCCUUGACUUUGGGAUAACUUCAGGAAACUGGGGCUAAUACCGGAUAGGAGCUCCUGCUGCAUGGUGGGGGUUGGAAAGUUUCGGCGGUUGGGGAUGGACUCGCGGCUUAUCAGCUUGUUGGUGGGGUAGUGGCUUACCAAGGCGUUGACCGGUAGCCGGCCUGAGAGGGUGACCGGCCACAUUGGGACUGAGAUACGGCCCAGACUCCUACGGGAGGCAGCAGUGGGGAAUAUUGCACAAUGGGCGGAAGCCUGAUGCAGCAACGCCGCGUGCGGGAUGACGGCCUUCGGGUUGUAAACCGCUUUCGCCUGUGACGAAGCGUGAGUGACGGUAAUGGGUAAAGAAGCACCGGCUAACUACGUG